AGUCCUUUCAUUUCAAAGAACAACUUCAACUUUAACUUCAAAUCGAAAAUGGCGAACUUUCUCAAACCCCUCGCGGUUCCAAUCUGGAUCUUUUCCUCUAUUUAUCUUCUUCUUCUCCUUCGGAUUCGCAGUGAAUUGCUCCAAUCCGGGUUUCAAUGUCAUGAGUUUUGAUCUCAGAUAAGGGAUGGAGAAAUCUCAGUUUAUGUUUUUCUCUGAUCUCUUUGAUUUAAGAGAAGGAGUUGUGAAAUCGAAGCUCAAGUGCAGGGAUGUUGUAAAAGAGGUCUUACAUCCCUAUUUUUUGUUGAUAAAGGAGUUUGGGCAAAUUGGGAGCUUGUUAUAUAGUUCGGAAAAAGAUUGUUCUCAUUGUUAAAUUGUGAAUUUGUGAUUAUGAUGAGAAACUAAAAUCCAUUGACGGCAUUGCAUUGAAUUAUUGAUUUUUGGAUGGAUUCCAUUACUAAAGUGUUCCCCUUUGUUUG